rnacentral:miRNA from 1 species
CACACCUUUACCAGUGCGCUGG